UGGUUCCAAAUCUCAGCCUUUUUUACAGGAUGCAGAAAUUUGACUCGUAGCUUUAACUCUGAUGGAGAAUUUUUAACGAUGCCACAGAAUGGAAGCAGUGCUCCCUCCUAGGCCUCUACCUUAUCUGACAACUACAAGACGCAGGGACUUUUCUAAUAUUCUCCAAUGAAAGACAUUUUCUAAAGUUGUUGUUUUUCCUUUUGAGGAGAGGGAAAUUUAGCCUAUCAUAGCAGCUGCAUAACUUCUUUUUUUCUAAACAUCUUUAUCUUCUGCUGGCAUUUGAAAAAAGCGACUCGGUUGCCAGCCUGUCUUCCAUCUUGCAAUUCCCACAAAACUCCCAGACUGGAUAUCAAUCUGGAGUAUCUUGUGAAGUGUCUAAAGGCCACCAUUGAAGAAUGAAGAGGAUGUUUUCCAAAACAGGUCAGUCAUAUGCCCUGGAUCCCAUUGCCAAAGGAGAUUCCAGCCACCGUCUCCCUUUCUAAAUGUGGUCUUCAGGGAGAAAAGAGGCAAAAAGGUUGAUAGCAGAGGAUGAGACGAGAAAGGAGAUCAAGGCAGCAAACAUAUCCAACACGUCUCCCUCCUCCUAUUUUCUGAUAACAACAACCCCGUGAGAUCGGUUCAACUGAGAGAGAGAGAGAGAGUGAAGAAUCAAGUCAGGGGCUGGAAGUGGUUAAUGGAGUCACCAGCUGCAGUUUGACGGGACCCUUCACCCUGCCGUUAUUAUCUCACUGCAGAGAUGCUGUCCAAGCCCAAACAGCUGCUGUGCAACCAUUUCCCGAACUUCCCAGAUCUAUUUCCUCAUGCAGCAAGCUGGCCUGUGGAAUAAGGCUGAUUAAGACCUUUCGCUCUGUUGUUAUUUUUGCAUGUGGGAGUGUAUUUCAAACAAAUUAUCAAAUUGGUCUGAACUGUGUGAAAAACACAGUUAUGACAAUGAGAUCUAAAAUAUGGGCAGGGCGUUGCUUCAAAACCAAAGAGUGAAAGAGACAGCAGCCCAACCAGUGGUGGGUUUCAAAAAUGUAUACUACCGGUUCUGUGGGUGUGGCUUGGUGGGUGUGGCUUGGUGGGCGUGGCAGGGGAAAGAUAGUGUAAAAUCUCCAUUCUUUCCCCAAUCCAGGGGGAAGGAUAUUGCAAAAUCCCCAUUUCCUCCCGAUCAGCUGGGACUUGGGAGGCAGAGAAUAGAUGGGGGUGGGGCCAGUCAGAAUUUUUACUACCGGUUCUCCGAACUACUCAAAAUUUCCGCUACCGGUUCUCCAGAACUGGUGAGAACCUGCUGAAACCCACCUCUAAGCCCAACCUCCUUAAUUUAGGUUUAUGCUGCAGUAUAUUCCUUCCAUUGUUGCAGCACUGAACUUUUUUUGUUAAUUUGAAAAAUGUUUGCUGAUAUCUCAGCAGAAGCAGCUCUAGGUUUAAGAUCUGUUGCUUAUCUUGUGGAUAUGCCACAGUAUAUCCGUGAGUCCCCUCAGCUCUAUGGUUGCCUGUGUGUUUUCAGGUGCAAUUCAUGUGGCUAGAUAUCCCCUGUGAAGCCCUUCAUGGCAUGGUGCUGGGCUAUUUGAAGGAUUGCUUGACUUCAAUUGUUUCUAUCUAGACAGUGACAUUGGGUGGAGUGGGGGUGCUUCAGGUCCCCUCAAUGAAAGAGAGCCAUCUUUAGAGGAUUUAGGAAGCAUGUCUUCUCUGUUACACCCCUGCCUCUAGAAUGGUUUCCGCCCAACCUCCCACCCUGGCUCCCAUCCUGAUGAUGCUUGGAAGUCCAUGAAGACCUGGCUCGUCUCCCAGGCAACAGUGGAUGUUGAACCCUUGUGGGUUGCUUUUCCCCCCUAUGUUCUCUGGACAUGUGUGGUCCUUUUUUUCCUCAGUUUUAUGUUCCUUUCUCAUUUUUUUACUUGCAAGCAGCCCAGAAUCAUCUGGAGUCAGAUGGUUUCUAAAUAUUGUUAGUAUUACGGAGGCCAUCCAAAAUCAUGAUAAAUUAGGGGAGCUUGUUUUUUAAAUACAUACGUCAAGUGAGCAACAACAUGGUGUUUCUUAAGGACAAGGACAAGCCAGAGAUUUUAUGGCAAGAAAGUUGACCAAAGGUCCUCCUCCCUGGCUCUUGCUGCCAGUAAGUAAGGAGGCCACAACAUAAAAUAUUGCUGCUUCAUUCAUUAGGUCACCUGAGGAAAUUGCUAGGCCACAUUCCUAUACAGCCCAGAUAUCUCUGCCUUUAGGAGUGGGGAACCAUGGCCCUUUUCUUUUCUUUUAUGUACACUGAGAGCAUAUGCACCAAGACAAAUUCCCUGUGUGUCCAAUCACACUUGGCCAAUAAAAUUCUAUUCUAUUCUAUUUUAUGACUUGUAGACUUCAACUCCCAGAACUCCCAUACUGGCUCAGGAAUUUUGGGAGUUGAAGUUCACAAAUCAUGAAAGCAGGGGUGAAAUGCUCCCAGUUCGGACCGGAUGGGCAAUUCCGGUAGUGAGGGUGGCGGGUGGUAGCAAAAAUCCCUCCCCCCCAUGCCCACCCAAUCGCCCAGUCGCCUGCUUGCCCCUUCUUUUAAAAAAUGCUUUUAAAAGGUUAAAAAAAAGGCUCUGACAAUCACAGCUGAGCCAUGCAAUCGUCAGAGCCUUUUUUUUACUUUUAAAAGCAUUUUUUUACAACCUAUUUGCCCGAAUAAGUUAUUAAAAAAUGCUUUUAAAAGGUAAAAAAAAAAGGCUCUGACGAUCACAGCUGAGCUGUCAGAGAACUGGGAGUAAACCGGUUCAGAUUUCACCACUGCAUAAAAGGGCCAUGGUUCCCCACCCCUACUUCAGACAAUAAUGGACAAGUCACAUGCAUUAUGUCUCCACUUAAACCUAACCAUGACAAAUCAAGGCCUGGCAAUACUUAUUUGAUAUAUAUUGAUAUAUUGAUUUAUAUUGAUAUAUAUAUAUAUAUAUCAUAAUACUUAUGAUUUAUAUUGAUAUAUUGACCAUCAUUUGUGUUGUAAAUGUUGUACCUUGAUGAACGUAUCUUUUCUUUUAUGUACACUGAGAGCAUAUGCACCAAGACAAAUUCCUUGUGUGUCCAAUCACACUUGGCCAAUAAAAAAUUCUAUUCUAUUCUGUUCUAUUCUAUUCUAUUCUAUUCUAUUCUAUUCUAUUCUAUUCUAUUCUAUUCUAUUCUAUUCUAUUCUAUUCUAUUUCAUCCCAGGCCACUGGGGUAACAGCAUCUCAUCCCAGCCUGGGAGCAAGACAGGGUUAAGCCAUCUUUAGCUGUAUCUGUAACAAAGUAGGGUUUACCUCCAUAAUGUUCCCUUUGAUUGUAUACAAUUUCAUAUAGUUAUUACAUACUUAUGCUUAUAUAUAUGCUUA